UACGUAGGGUGCGAGCGUUGUCCGGAAUUAUUGGGCGUAAAGAGCUCGUAGGCGGUGUGUCACGUCGGCCGUGAAAACCUGCAGCUUAACUGUGGGCGUGCGGUCGAUACGGGCAUCACUGGAGUUCGGCAGGGGAGACUGGAAUUCCCGGUGUAGUGGUGGAAUGCGUAGAUAUCGGGAGGAACACCAGUGGCGAAGGCGGUUGCCUGGAGCUUUGCUGACGCUGAGGCGCGAAAGCGUGGGGAGCGAUCCGG
rnacentral:rRNA from 1 species